rnacentral:pre_miRNA from 1 species
GCCACACUUUAGCAGCACGUAAAUAUUGGUGUGUGAGGGAAAAAAAAACCAAUAUUAGCAGUGCUGCUUCAGGGUGGC